ensembl:lncRNA
GCCUGCUGAAAUCCUCGCUGGUCAUGUGUCGCGCUGCUCUUGGCUCCGGACAGUGCAUUCAAGCUGUUGACAACAGUCAUCGAAUGUAGCGGCUCUGAGGACUAGGAAGUCUCCACCGUUUUACUUAAUCGGUUAACGGGGAAAAGCCUAUAUUAGAAACAUACAUGAAAUAGUUUGUUUAACCUCUCCAACCGGAACAAUGAUUUCCCCGUGGGACCGCUGCUGCAUCUGCUGUCAUGUCCGGACGGGCACCAUCAACUUCGAGCGAUUGGACGCCUUCGAUCGAUUAGUUACAGUCUCAUCGCUGCAACACCCGUACAGACUCGGGAGAGGCGAAGAGCCGUGCGUCCUCCGAAACACAACCCAGCCAAGCCGCACUGCUUCUUGACACAAUGCCCACUUAACCCGGAAGCCAGUCGCAACAAUGUGUCGGAGGAAACACUGUGCACCUGGCAACUGUGUCAGCGUGCACUGUGCCGGCCCGCCACAGGAGUCGCUAGUGCUCGAUGGGACAAGGACAUCCCAAAUCCUCCCCUAACCCGGAUUAUGCUGGGCCAAUAGUGCUGCCCCACGGUACUCCCGGUCACGCCCGGCUGCGACAGAGCCUGGACUCGAACCCAGAAUCUAUAGUGGCACAGCUAUAGUGACACCCAAAAGUACUCAUUAUGUUUUGAAUGCUUAGCAGGACAGGAAAAUAGUCAAAUUCAAGCACUUAUCAACCUAACAUCCCUGGUCGUCCCUACUGCCUCUGAUCAGGUGGACUCACUAAACACACAUGCUUAGUUUGUAAAUUAUGUCUGAAUGUUGGAGUGUGCCCGUGGCUUUCCGUAAAUUAAGAACUUUUACUUGAGUCAUUUUCUAUUAUGGUAUUUUUUAAACAUUUAUUCAAGUAUGACAAUUGGGUACUUUUUCCACCACUGAAUUUAACAUCACAAGCUGAACCUAUAUCAUUGGCC